rnacentral:rRNA from 1 species
GACGAACGCUGGCGGCGUGCUUAACACAUGCAAGUCGAGCGGAAAGGCCCUUUUGGGGGUACUCGAGCGGCGAACGGGUGAGUAACACGUGAGUAAUCUGCCCUUCACUUUGGGAUAACCACCGGAAACGGUGAUUAAUACCGGAUACGACGCACUCGGGCAUCCGAUGUGUGUGGAAACUUUUUGGGUGGGGGAUGUGCUCGCGGCCUAUCAGCUUGUUGGUGGGGUAAUGGCCUACCAAGGCUUUGACGGGUAGCCGGCCUGAGAGGGUGACCGGCCACACUGGGACUGAGACACGGCCCAGACUCCUACGGGAGGCAGCAGUGGGGAAUAUUGGACAAUGGGCGGAAGCCUGAUCCAGCAACGCCGCGUGAGGGAUGACGGCCUUCGGGUUGUAAACCUCUUUCAGCACCGACGAAGCGCAAGUGACGGUAGGUGCAGAAGAAGGACCGGCCAACUACGUGCCAGCCGCCGCCGUAAAAC